CAUAAAGCGCUUAGAAUGACACCAGCACAUGUAAGGCUCCUGGAUGUUAGCUGUUAUCCUUGAGCAGGGAGCAAGUUCCCUCCCAUACAAAAGCCAGGGGGUUCCAGCCCACCCUCCUGUCCCAGCCCCCAUUACAGGAGGUGUGCUGAUCUCCCGGCUUGCAGCAUUUUGCCCUCUGCUUAGAACUGGGGGGAGGGGCCAGAAUUCUCAGCCAGCCCUAGAGGCGGAGCCUGCCACCUGUAGGGCACCCGGGGCCCAGCAGCCCUCUCCACACCUCUCCUCUACCUUCUUGUUAACUCGGCCUAUUUCACAGCUGACUGCUCCUGUGGAAAUUGGAAUGAGGAUGAACUCCAGGCAGCUGGAAAAGUACCGGGCCACCCUGGAAGGGCUGCUGAGCGAGGAGCUGCUGUCCACCCAGAACGCCAAGUGACAGCCCCAUUCUGCGUUCUGCGAAGAAGAUGAACAGAUCUGGGAGCCCCUCCCACAGGAGCCAGGCUCCAGAAAUGUGCACCGCCCACCAGCCAGGCUCCGAAGGAAAACACCCUUUCCAGAGCAAAUGCCCUCCAGCAAAUAAAGCAUGAAAUACACAGAAAGGACUCGUAUUUAAUAUUUUAAUUUCCAAAGGGCAAACUCAGGUCAUGAGGAAAGGG